UACGGAGGGUGCGAGCGUUAAUCGGAAUUACUGGGCGUAAAGGGUGCGUAGGUGGUUAAUUAAGUUAUCUGUGAAAUCCCUGGGCUCAACCUGGGCAGGUCAGAUAAAACUGUUUAACUCGAGUAUGGGAGAGGGUAGUGGAAUUUCCGGUGUAGCGGUGAAAUGCGUAGAGAUCGGAAGGAACACCAGUGGCGAAGGCGGCUCACUGGACCGGUUCUGACGCUGAGGAGCGAAAGCGUGGGGAGCAAACAGG
rnacentral:rRNA from 1 species